rnacentral:rRNA from 1 species
AGCGAACAGGAUUAGAUACCCUGGUAGUCCACGCCGUAAACGAUGAUCACUAGCUGUUGGCGAUACAGUGUCAGCGGCAAAGCGAAAGCAUUAAGUGAUCCACCUGGGGAGUACGGCCGCAAGGUUGAAACUCAAAGGAAUUGACGGGGGCCCGCACAAGCGGUGGAACAUGUGGUUUAAUUCGAUGAUACGCGAGGAACCUUACCUGGGCUUAAAUGUUGGGUGCAUUCCCGGGAAACCGGGAUUCCCUUCGGGGCUUCCAACAAGGUGCUGCAUGGUUGUCGUCAGCUCGUGCCGUGAGGUGUCGGGUUAAGUCCCAUAACGAGCGCAACCCCUAUCGUUAGUUGCCAUCGGGUCAUGCCGGGGACUCUAGCGAAACUGCCGGUGUAAACCGCGAGGAAGGUGGGGAUGACGUCAAAUCAGCACGGCCCUUAUGCCCAGGGCUACACACGUGUUGCAAUGGCCGGUACAGAGGGCAGCUACCUGGUGACAGGGUGCAAAUCUCGAAAGCCGGUCCUAGUUCGGAUUGGAGUCUGCAACUCGACUUCAUGAAGCUGGAAUCGCUAGUAAUCGCGCAUCAGCCAUGGCGCGGUGAAUACGUUCCCGGGCAUUGUACACACCGCCCGUCAAGCCAUGGAAGCCGGGGGUACCUGAAGUCUGCA